rnacentral:rRNA from 1 species
GUCUUUUUGAUAAUAAUUUAAAGUCUAGUCUGCCCAAUGAAUUAUUUUAAUGGCCGCAGUAUUUUGACUGUGCAAAGGUAGCAUAAUAAUUAGUUUUUUAAUUGAAAGCUGGAAUGAAUGGCUGAACGAGAAAAUUACUGUCUCAAUUUAAUUUAUUUAGAAUUUUAUUUUUAAGUUAAAAAGCUUAAAUAUUUUUAAAAGACGAGAAGACCCUAUAGAGUUUUAUAUAAAUAUAAUAAUUUUAUUUAGAAAUUUUAAUAUUAAAAUUUAUAUUUUAUUGGGGUGAUAAUUAAAUUUAAAUAACUUUAUUUUUUAAAAAUCAUUACUUUAUGAAUGUAUGAUCCAUUAUUUAUGAUUAAAAGAUUAAAUUACCUUAGGGAUAACAGCGUUAUUUUUUUAGAGAGUUCUUAUCGAAAAAAAAGAUUGCGACCUCGAUGUUGGAUUAAAAUUUAUGUAUGGUGUAGAAGCUAUAUUAUUGAGUCUGUUCGACUUUUAAAAUUUUACA